rnacentral:rRNA from 1 species
UGCCUACGGGAGGCAGCAGUAGGGAAUUUUCGUCAAUGGGCGCGAGCCUGAACGAGCAAUGCCGCGUGAACGAGGAAGGUCUUCGGAUCGUAAAGUUCUGUUGAAGGGGAAAAAGAGCGGAGAGAGGAAAUGGUCUCCGAUUGAUAUUACCCUUCGAGGAAGUCACGGCUAACUACGCGCCAGCAGCCGCGGUAAUACGUAGGGUGCGAGCGUUAAUCGGAAUUACUGGGCGUAAAGGGUGUGCAGGCGGCUGAGUAAGACAGAUGUGAAAUCCCCGGGCUUAACCUGGGAACCGCAUAUGUGAC